CCAAACUUGGUCAUUUAGAGGAAGUAAAAGUCGUAACAAGGUUUCCGUAGGUGAACCUGCGGAAGGAUCAUUGCUGAUUGAUUGAUGUGGUGUGCUAUGCGCACCCUCAUAUAACCCACUGUGAACCUGAUUGUAUAUGUGGUCGCACAGGGACCUGUUGUUGAUUAUGCUGAUUGCUGUUAGCAAUGACUAGCAGUCUAGGCUGGACAAUGAUGGGAGAGCGGCCGCACAUUUUUACUAUGAACCUUUUUUUGCUAAAGACCAAUACUGUAUUUAAUACUAACUAUAAUACAACUUCCAACAAUGGAUCUCUUGGCUCCUGUACCGAUGAAGAACGCAGC
rnacentral:misc_RNA from 1 species